CCUACGGGAGGCUGCAGUGAGGAAUAUUGGUCAAUGGGCGGAAGCCUGAACCAGCCAAGUAGCGUGCAGGAUGACGGCCCUACGGGUUGUAAACUGCUUUUAUCCGGGAAUCACGCGCCUUACGUGUAGGGCUUUGCAUGUACCGUAUGAAUAAGGACCGGCUAAUUCCGUGCCAGCAGCCGCGGUAAUACGGAAGGUCCGGGCGUUAUCCGGAUUUAUUGGGUUUAACGGGAGCGUAGGCCGCAUGUCAAGCGUGCUGUGAAAUGUCCGGGCUCAACCCGGGGCUUGCAGCGCGAACUGGCGGGCUUGAGUCCGCGGAAAGCAGGCGGAAGUCGUCGUGUAGCGGUGAAAUGCUUAGAUAUGACGAAGAACCCCGAUUGCGAAGGCAGCUUGCUGCAGCGGAACUGACGCUGAUGCUCGAAAGCGCGGGUAUCGAACAGGAUUAGAUACCCCAAUAGUC
rnacentral:rRNA from 1 species